rnacentral:lncRNA from 1 species
UUUUUUUUUUGUAUUUUAGAAAGAUGUAUUUUAUCUUAUUUUUUGCAUUUCUUGAUUGUGUUUAUAUUGUCAUAUUUUUGUGAUUUUCUUUCUAAUCAUUCGUUUUCCUUUAUAAAAUAAAAUAGACAUGUGGAGAAAAAGAAAUAUAAUUCAGCAAUCUAUAGGUUCUCUGUAAUUUGUGCAGAGUACAAUCAUGAAGGGUCCUUAAUAUACAUGCUAAUGUACAUUCACAUAAGUGCAAGCCUGCAACUCUUUAAAUCUACGAUUAUAAGAUACAAAAUCUGUGACAUAAUAAUCUUCAUUUAUAGGAAUAUUUUUCAGCUAAGCUCGUCGGGAGAACUGCAGCUACUAACCAACCACCAGUGAAGAAUGACUUCAUCUGCAGAUUAAUGUAAAAAAUCGUAUAUGUACAUUCUCAUAGAGUAGGGUUGCUUAGCUAGUAGCUUCUCGAAACUUACUUCAGUAGUUGCUUGAGAUUUUUAGAUAACAGCCUCGAUAGCCUGUUAGUCUCAUAACGAAACCCCCCAGAUUGCUGAAGCAUCUUCGCUACACUUAGCAUGCACUUCCUUGAUUCUAUCCACUGAUUUGCAAAUCCCGCUGCAGGACCAGUCGAAUGAAGCUACACAAACACUGCCUGCUUGUGCUUUCCAUUCACAUUCUGGAAAGUACGCCACCAAGUUAGUGAAUUUUUCCUUCAAAAUUAUAUUAAAAAAUAAAAAAUACACUUGAAAAAUUGUCAUACCUGGGGGAGUUCCGCAACACAUGGAGUGCUCGUUAAUGUGCUCCACCUCAAGCCCAAUAAACCAAGUACCAAGUGACACAUCUUCAUUUGCAUAUUUAUGCAGUAUGGCCCUGAAAUCAGUUGUCGACAAGUUCUUAUCAAUAAAAGAAAUUCAUUGCUUGGCAAAAUACUUAUGAGAGAGGACUUUUAAAUUUGCUAUUUACAAUGAAAUCAUUUUUGUGUGCAGAUUUUAUUUCAGAUUGCGGAUUUACAGUAUAAAUAUAAGUAAUCAAAUUCUUACUGGUUAUCGGAGACAUAUUUUGCCAGAUUCUUAGAGACGGCAUAAAUUUGCCCAGUUGCAUGCCGUAAGUAUUUGUUACCCUCCUCCCCGAAUUUCCAGAAUUCGGGCUCGUGGUACUUGACAUUCCUACAGAGAACACAAGAUUGAUAAGUUCAACAGCAAAAUUUACAAAGGUUAUAAUUCAGGUAUACUAGAAAAAGCUUACUUUCGAGAUAGAACCGGUCCAGAUUUCAUACAUCCUAUAUAUACCCUAGGUUUCAAACGAUGGCGGGCAAGGGUUGCAGCUAGCAUACCUGCAUUGCGCUAUAAAUUAGAUAAAUAAAGUAAUACACCUUUAUCUAUGGAUACAAAUAAUAAACUAAAAAGCGAUAUACUGCUACAGUCAGAGUAUGAAACAUUAAUGAGUGUAAUUAUAUUUGAUUUUGUCAUUUUGAAGAUAAAUGUCUCCAAUUGAUCAAACUUGAUCAUACAUAUAACGAGGAAGUUUUAGGUUUAGGGAUGACAACAGAGACUGCAGUGACAAAAUUGUGAAGACAUACCCAAAUUUACGUGAACAUCAUCAUCAAUCUUGACAUAGAAAUCUGCAUCCCACUUGGCAUAUGCUGUUGACAAAAAUGUUUUCGUCUUUGCAGAUAACUCAUGAUAACCUUCGACAUGAUCCUAUUAUGCCAACAUGUCAGUGUUUGAACUCAUAUAAUACCAGUGCUUAAUCAUACAAACAGUGUCAAACUCACCAGCCUAAGAAAGUCGUUGUGCUGAGAAUCCUCUGAAUCAAUUGCUCGAUCUAAAAUGCUAUUUGAUGUUGCACUGCAUUAUAAAGUUAGAAAAUUACUUAGCCUGAAUACUUUAAUAUAGGAACAGUUAAAGUAUACUUUAAAAAGAUUCAUGUGCACUUGGUACCUCGUUAUUCUACUUUAAAACUUUAAAACAUAUUUUUGUACCAGUUAAUUUCCUCUAUCGAGAUGAAACCAACUUGAAGUUUAUAUAAAAAGGUGGAGAAUCUGGAACUCAUGAUUAUAAAAGUGAAAAUGCAAGAUUGCUGUCAUACUGAUAUCCAGCAGCCAAGAGUGUGAAGGAAUAAAAAAGAGAGGAUAUAUAAUUUUAAGAUCAGCAUAGAAGUCUUAAGCCAGAGCAAUUUAUUAAAAAUGAAUAUAUGUUCCGCAUACUUGUAUUUGACCAGUAGUUGCUGAUAUAAGGUUCAUGUUAAGUGCCAUUUUUUGUGUUCAGUAGUUAUGCUAGGAAAACCUUGCAAGAGCUGAAUAGAAUGGGAAUCUUUGUUUGUUUACAUUACGUAGUCUUUACAUAAUUUCAUCAGUCAAAACAGUGAAGGGCUUGAUCAGAUAAUAAAUUGAAUGCUGCAAUAUAAGAUGAUAUAUUGAUGGCUCUUUGAAUUAAGGAUAGAAGCUCAAAUACCUGUGGCCAAUCAUAAAACGAACAACAAUCCCCUUUUCCUUCUCCAGUUUUAAUAGCUUCUCGCCUAGUACAAACAUAAAGAUAUGUAAAACAGUCCUAACGAUUAUAUAUACCUAUAUCUAAGUAGAGAAGAAAAAUACCUUGAGGCAUCCAAGUCUGUCUAACAGAAUCACGCCUCUUUCUACUGCUGAAGGCAGUGUUUAUCCCGAUAACCAUAAAUGCUUUUUGCUUUGUAGUAUUGGUCUCUAUACCAGACAGCUUGUGACUGCUGCUUCUUUCAACAGAGGGAAGCUCCAUUCGUAAAUCAUCAAUUGAGUUGUCCAGUGAUCUGAAAGGGGAACAACAAUUUUUACAUAAUAUUUUAACAGAAAACCAGUAAUUUCAUUUAUUCAUUUGUUGCUUCCUAUCUUUCCAGGCUCCCAGCUAUCUUGCCUUCCCUAUAGCAACAAUUUUGAUCGGAUUUAUAUUUUGUUAAACACUGAUUGUUGCCGCUGCUUUUAGUCCAAAAAGGAAUUCGGUAAAAUUUAGCACAUAAUGAAAUGAUAAUGGUCAACAUACUCACUGUAUAGCUUCAUGUGUUUUCUGAAACUCUCCCAGUAUUUCGUUGUUCUGAUACAAUAUAAGCCAUAGUGAGAACGAUGUUACAGAUUAAGAUGAUGAAGAAAAUUACAUAUCUGUAUAGAUAACCCAUUAGUGAAAAGAAAAAGGAGAGAGGAGAGAGGACCUUUUUUGUAGUGCAAUCAUCAGCAAGAAGCUGCAAGUCUUGAUUGCGCUGCAGCGACCACAUGAUUUGGCCCUUGGAUUCGGGAAGAAGCCAUACUCUGCACACAAAAAAGACUUAAGCCAACGCUCUAGCAAUCAAAUUGAAUUACUAAACCAUGCUGUUAAAGAUCUCAUUCAUCACACGAAACUUAAUAAAUUUAACAAACAGUCACAGGCUAAAACAGAAGAUAUGUGAAAUCUCGUUUUACUAACAUCAGCUUUCCAGUCCAGGACUAGUUUAGUUCUCUGCUCGUGGAUAUUUAAAACCUCACCUCACCUUCUAUGAUGUCUCAAAAUCAAAGUAAUAUGGAAAAAAUAAGAAAUCUGAGUUGAACAAAAAGUCAAUCCCUCAGAACCCAAAAAAGGGCUUGAAGUCUAGGAACAUGAUUCAUUACUAUCACAGAACUAAUUAAACAGUUCUGAUCACGUUGUCCAAACCAGUUCCUGUCAUAAAUUAAUUCUUCUCCUCGGUCGAUUAGGUUUAUGAUAUAUUGUUCUCCGUCUCUUCUAGAAUCAUUUGUAUCCCGCUCCGAGGUUGUUUAGCACGCAAUCCGUCUUUGUCAGAACUACAGUAACGACUCUAGAACUUCAUAUAUCCCUCGAUAACAAGUUUUUCUUUAAGAAACCAAAACAAUCUUAUUUUUUUCCUAGAUAUUCAAAUUAUCUUCAGCUGGUUGCUAAAUAAGAAUUUGGACAUCAGUACAUACAAAUUAAAAAAUAAAUAUACGCACCUGCUGGAAACGAGCAUGCCAAGUGCAAAGGUGAAGAUACAGGACAGGACAAUCCACUUAGGUGACACUUUUCCGCUGUUCCGAGAUUUCGUCAUGGAGUUAAAAGAAGAAGACAUGCGAAACUAUACAGAGUAGAUGUUAGAAAUUGGAAUGAUAUUUGAUGCGGGCACGCCCUCCUCCAAACACCCUAACAGCUCGAGGUUCUAGGAGAAUUGAUCACUUAAUACGGUGUAAACAACAUAUAGGAAACUAAGGAGGUAAGAAAGAAGAGGAUUGAGUGAGAAACGGGGAAUACAGAGUAUGUUGUACGUAAGAGCCGAGGCUUUUUGGACAACGGAGACUACGAAGUAGCUGCGAAGUUAUAGCACACAUUGUUUGGCUUUCAGUAAUGUUACUUAUUCCACGGCUUGUUUGUUUUGGUCUUGUCUUGCCUUCAACUGUAGAACAAAUUGCUAUUCAGGUCAAUGAGAACCUAACUUUGUCAAAUGUCCAACUUUGUCCAUGAAAAUUGUGACACCUAAUCCCACUUUUCUUUCUUUCCAGGCCCAAGCUAUUUUAUUAUUUUUGGUUAAACAACUAUUUUUCUUUUGUUAGACAAUUUUCUUAAACAAUUAUUUUUCUUUCUUACGCGCGUCAUUCAGGUUUUAAAGGUAGCCGCACUGACUGGCGACUGCUAUCUGAAUAAUAAAAGAACAUGUUUUAAAUCCAUGGCAGGCCAAUCAUGCUAAAUGGGAUCGCCACCCACAGUUGAAAUUGCUCUAAAAUCAUGAAAUUCUGUAUCGUAAAAAGUAGAAAGUGAAAGUGUGAAACUAAUCGGUGGAGAUUCCGUUUAGAAUUAAACGAAUAAUCGGGAAUUAAUUAAAAUAAUUAACAGGGAUGGGAUAUAUUAAUAUAUUAUAAUAAUAAUUAAUUUAUUAAAUCUUUUAUAUUAUUUAAAAAAUAUAUUGUAAUUAAUCCGAUUUAAAAAUCGAACCGGUGCGUAUCUUGUAAAAAUUAAUCGGUCAAAUAGGUUUGUUUUAGGACUAUGCUAAUGAUGUAUUGCCUGGGAUUCAUGUCGGCACAAUUUUGAAUUUAUAAGCCAACAUAUAUAGGAAAAUGGAUAUCAUGCCACACAUGAGCUUGAUAUUUCUCUUAGAGCACCAACAAAAUCCAAUUGGGGAGUGGAAGACAGACACAUUAGAGUCCAUGGUACAUCAAGCUACAAGCCAUGGCAAAGACAUAACACCACACAGAAAUGUAAAUCACCGGUUCUUGUUGCAUACUCUGACUUGAAAAGGUCAGAACAUUCAGGUAAAGUAGAUAUGGCUCCAGGCUUCCAGAGAAAACGAAACCAGACAGAGUGCUCCAACCUAUGUAAAAGAAACUCUAACAGUUGCAACUAUAAACUUGGUGAACCAAGAGCAUACAGCAGUGCCUCAUGCGCAGUGCAAGGACCAUACUAUUGUGACAUGGGCACCUUUCGAUUCUCCUCAGUCCUCAGAGCCAAAGUAAAUGUGCAUAUUAGGGAUUAAGCUUUUCUAGAUGGAGUAAAUUACAUAAUUUUCUGGUAGUUUAUGUCAAUAGCUCAUGUCAUAAUAUUAGUAACGAAACUACUCCAGUCAACAGAGUACUUCAGUACAUUACAUGUGAAUGGCAAGUAACAGGACAACAGGAUAUCUAUAAUAUAUAAAAUGCAUAAAAUGUAAUCAAAGUGUAUAAAUGCAACUGAUUACGGUAUAAGUGAUUGCAAACACCUGCACAAGCAGAGACUGUAAAAACCUUUGGAAAAGGUUGGAAGGUUUGAGCAAACUUAAUUCUAUGUUUACCUGUCUUAUUUCGAGCCAACUCAACUCAAUAUUUGGCGCCGAUACCUUCUGUACCCAGACUCUUUCCAUCUAAAUAAGAAUGAUUACUUAAACAGACAUAUCUGUUACAACUAACAUUUUACAGCAUAUAUAUGUCAAGGCAAAAGAUCUUUCCUUGUAACAAGAAAGGUUUGUGUCAAUAAAACUUGCAAGUCACUAGAGCUCUUAAUAAUAAAACUGGAAGCAGAGCAGAUUUACCACAUACUUCAAACCAAAAAAAAAAAAAUAAAGUUCUCAAAGAACACGGGUUCUUCUGCAGCGUCAACAUUAAACAGACUUAAGCUAUUUAAAUACCAAUACAAUACACAAAAAGAAAAUCAGUUGUAUUACGGUAUCAAAAACCAACUAAACUAAACAGCUGACUGCCACAAAGGUUAUCUUAAUCAUUUGUGCAUUCUAAUGAGAUUUUGAGAUACCAAGUACUAAAGAGACUAAUGAUUUCAUUUCCAAAACUUAAACUGACAGCAGCAAAAGUAAUAAUUAUAUCUCAUCAUGAAAAACAUGACUCAAUAUUCGUUAAUACUCACUGAAAUAACUGUGAAAUACAAAAUACAUUUAUAAAAUCAGCGGAAGAACAAUUUCAUUAUGCAAGUUCAAUUUCUUUUAAAUCGGUUACCAUCCAAUACUACCUUGCAUCGUUCUGUAGUAUAUACCACAGCUUGAUUAAUGCUCCUGUUCAAGUUCUUGGUCACAAAAUUACCCCAACCACAACAUGUCUACACCACAUCAUAACAUUCUUAAUCUAACUCGCAAUACUAAAACAUCAAUCCAAGUUUAACCUAAACCUAAACCGAAACGAUACAAUUCAAAUAUUAAAUAACUACUUUACCAGAGACUCUAAAGCAUGAAAUUCAAUUAGGGAAAAUAAACCUCAAAUUAUCAAAGUUCACGUAAUUAUCGCAUAUUGUAAAUAUCCAAUUGCUAGAUUGGUCACAUAAAUUAUUCGAAUCAAAAUCGAUCCAUUACAAAUACAAAAUUAGAAAUAGCAUAAUCAUAUUCUAGUGAUUGAGUUCCAUGAUGCUUUUGACCUUGGGUGCGUAGAGCGAAUAAACAAGAGCCUGUCUCUUCGCAACCUCCAGCUGCGACUUGCCGUCGGCGAAAGCGGCGGACGGGUCGGUGGCAUGUUUGUUGAGACGAAAGGCGUCGAUUGUACGACGCUUACUAUAUUCUCUGAUGUUGUAAUCGGAGAAUUGACGGGAUGUUCGAAGGAGUGACCGGAAUAGAGACAGGAUUUCCGGCCGUGACGGCGACGCAGCGGCCAUUUUUAAGCUUUUGGUUUCUUUUGGUUGGCUAGAAGAAUCCGCAACCUUAUGGUAGGUUUGUAUUUAUGGCAUGAAUGUACCGGUAAUAUUUGUAUGUCUUUUUUAUUUUUUAAUAUUUAUUUAGUAUAAUUUUGUUUCCGUUCAUUUUAUUUUCUCUAAUCUAAUUAUAUACUCCCUCCAUCCCAUUUUAAUUGACACUUAUUCCUUUUUGGGACGUCCCAAAAAGAAUGAACCUAUUACACUGAAUACUACUUUUCACUAUUACACCCCCUACCUUUUUCCACUAUCUCUAUUCUAUAAUAAUAUAACCACUGUUACACCCACUACUUUCCUCCACUAUCUCAAAUCUAUUAUUAAAAUUUUGAUGGGUCUCACCACUUUACCAACUUUUCAACUAAUUUAAUUUUUUUUACUACAUUUUUCUUAAUCUCCGUGAAAGUCAAAGCAGUUCAAUCUUUCUGGGACGGAGAGAGUACCUUUUUUCAUCAAUUAUCUUUUUUCUUAUUUAUUGUAUGAUAUUGCACAUUCACAUUAUAAUAGGUAAUUUUAAGAUGAAGCAAUAUGAUAAUCUUAUUUUAUCAAUGUUUAUACUAUUUUUUAAAUCUUAUUUUAUGAAUAAAAAUUUAAUUUAUAUCCUUAUAUGAAAGAAAUUUGAAAAAUAAUAUAUAAAAUAUAUUUCUUAAUCUCAAAAUAUGUGUAAAAAAUAAAACGGUUAUUAUUUUAGAAUGUAAAAAGUAGUAUGAUAAUUAUUUUAAAUUUUACUUUUAUUUUCUUUAAGAUUUAGAGUUUGAUUGAUCUAUCUGAAAGUAAUUAAAAUUAAAUUUAGAAAAAUAGCACAAAUAUAAAUUUAAUAAAAAUAAUGUAAUCAAGAAAGAUGAUGUACUUUUUUGAAAGAAGAGAAUUACCGUCAUCCACAUAUUAUACUCCCUCCGUCCCUCUCAUUUCUUUACGGAGUACUAUUUUGGGAUGUCUUUCUUAUUUUUUUACGUUACUGUAAAUAGUAAGUUUUUCUCAUUAUUACACCCACUAUUUUCCCCUGCUAUCUCAUACUCCCUCCGUCCCAAAAAGAUUGAUAUGCUUUGACUUUCACGUAGAUUAAGAAAAAUGUAGUAAAAGAAAUUAAAUUAGUUGAAAAGUUGGUAAAGUGAUGGGACCCAUCAAAAUUUUAAUAAUAGAUUUGAGAUAGCGGAGGAAAGUAGUGGAUGUAAUAAUGUUUAUAUUAUUAUAGAACAGAGAUAGUGGAAGAAGUAGUGGAUGUAAUAGGGGGAGUAUUUAACAAUAAUAACUACUAUUACACCCACUAUUUUCCUCCACUAUCUCAAAUCUAUUAUUAAAUAUUGAUAGGUCACACUACUUUACCCACUUUUCAUCCCCUCCAAUGUAAAGAAGGUCCCACCACUUUACCCACUUUUCAUCCCCUCCAAUGUAAAGAAUUAUGUAAAGAAUUGAGGGGAGUGGGGGACGGAGGGAGUAACUUUUAUAAUAAUAUAACCAUUUUAUGAAAAAACAAAAAAAGCAGGAGAUUCAAGUAAAAAAGAAAGCUAGGAAUUAAAUUGCGAUUGUUUUUCAGUUUACGGUGGACCAUUAAUAAUAGGGAAAAUAGAUUUUUUUGUCACCGAACUUAUUAUGCUUUCAGAAACUUGCCACUCAACUAAAUUUUUUUUCUUUUUAGUCACUGAUGUUAGGUUUGGAUUUGUUUUUAGUCACUAACUUAGGUUCGGAUAUGAUUAUUAGCAUUGUGAUAAUUUUUUGUAGCAUCAUUAAUACAUAGUGAUAGUAUAUAAUUUUUGAUGAUAUGAUGUAUGUUUAUAUUUUUGUAUAUAGCAAUAAUAACAUAAAAUGAGGUGAUAUAAUAUUAAAAUCAGGAAAAAUCGUAAUUAGAAUUCUAGAAACUCAUCAAAUCAUCAGUAUGGAAUCAAUAACUUCAAAAUUUAUGCUCUCCAUGAUAAAAUAAAAUCUAAUUAAGUGAUACGAUGCAUCAUCUUUCACUAUUAAAGUUUCAAUCACCUAGUUCAGCCUAAGAUCACUCUUAAAUUUAUCCUCAUAAUUUUUAAUAACUUUAUCUUAUUAUAAUUUUCAAGAUAAAGAUAAAUAAAUAGAGAGGAAAACUUAAUCUUCGAUGAUUUAUGAGAUUUUCUUUUUGCGUAUAAAAAUUCAAACACUAAAUUUUUAUUCGGAAGAAAAAAUAAAUAAUUUAUGAGAGUACACUUUUAGAAACCGUAAAAUGCGUGUUUAACUCUUAUCACCGAAAAUAAACGAUCUUGGGUAAAUAAAAGUACUAUAUAUAAAGAUAAACAUAUAUUAAAUCAUCAAAAUAUUACAAGUUAUCACUAUAUUUUAAUAAUACUACAAACAAUUAAUAUAAUGGUAAUAAUCAAAUCCGAACCUAAAUUUAGUUGCAAAAAAAAUUCCGAACCUAACAUCAGUGACUAAAAGUAAAAAAAAAAAAUAAUUGAGUGGCAAGUUUUUAAAAACAUAAUAAGUUCGAUGACAAAAAAAAUCUAUUUUCCCUUAAUAAUAAACUAGUGAAUAAAGCCGCGCUUCGCGGCGGCGUUAUUAAUUUUUUUUAUAAAUUUUUAUUACGAAUUAUUAUUAUAAUUGCAUAAAAAUUAAGAGUCAUCUUCACGUUAAACUUAUCACUAAUAAAAAAUAUUCUAAUUAAUAUAAAAUUUUGUUUAAGUGGCCUCCUGUUAAACACAAUACUAAUAAAAAAAUUGUUUGAACCGUCCUUCAAGACAAUAUUAAUCAAUAAUUAAGAUAAAAUUAAAUAUAAUAAUAUCAAUAAAAAUUAAUUUGAGCCGCUCUCUCGCCAAACACAAUACUAAUAAAAAUUAUUAUAAUUAUGAUAAAGUUAAAAAUUAUAAUUGGAUGAAAAUUAAUUUAAGACGUGGUCCCGUUUUAAAAAAAAUAUAUAUAUAUUAUAACUUAGAUAAAAAAUUAUUUUAGUCAUUUCCCGUCAAACAUAAUACUGAUAAAAAAUUUAUUAUUAUUUAGAUAAAAAUUAAUUCGGGCCGCCCUCCCUGAAGCACAAUACUAAUAUCAUUUACAUUAUGAUAAAUUAUAAUUAUAAUUGGAUAAAUAUAUCCAAUUUCAUAGAUUAUAGCUAUCAUAUAUUUCUUAAGUCCUAUUUCUUAACUGUUUAGAAUUAUGUCUCUUUUCUUUUAAGAUUUCUACUUCUUAACUACUUAGAAUUUCAUAGAUUUUAGCUAUUUUAUACUUUCAAGACUCCUAUUUCUUAACAUUUUAGAAUUAUCUCUCUUUUCUUUUAAGAUUCCUAUUUAUUAACUAUUUAAUUUAUUGUCUCUCAAAAAAUUAGAAAAAUCAAAACUGAUUUUUUUUUCGGUUGACCGAAACCAAAUUUUAAUAAAAAAACUCUACCGAAAACCGAACCGAAUUAAAUUUGGUUUUUAACCGAACUGAAAUUUAAAUUUCGGUUAAUACAAGAAAUCGAAAUUAUUAACCGAAAUUUUCAAAAAACAUCUAAAAAGUGAAAAUUAUGAAAAUAAAAGCAAGUUUACAUUCCAAGUCAAUAGAAAAAGGCUUCAGCGAGAAUAAAAAAUAACUACAAAAACUAUUUGAGGGUCUUACAAAACAUACUUGAAGGCCGGAGACUGAAAUACACCAGUGUGUUUGAGGGUUUGAGCAGCAGGGAGCAGCAGAUCGAUGGACUUGGAAGUUAAUGAACUGGUAUUUAGGUUGGUCGUAUAUAUUCUCGGAAGUGGGAAGUGAGUAGAUACACGCUUAUAAAUUAUAAAAAUAUUUAUACUAUUAAUUAAAAAUACUAUUUUUUAUAUAGUAUAUAAAAAUUCGGUUAAUCAUUCGGUUUUCGAGCUAAAAAACCGAAAAACCAAAAUAUCAAAAUUUGGCUACCAAAAACCGAACCGAAAUUUAAAAUUCGGUUAACCAAACUGAAAUUAUUUCGAUUUUUCGGUUCAGUUUUUGGUUAACCGAACCGAAUCACACCCCUAAUUACACUACACCAACAUAUCAAAUCAAAUAAGAAAUAAAAAUCUAAACUUUAUCAUAAAUCCCAAAUCCCACGUCAAAGAUUCAAUUUUUAUCAGAAAACAGUGUCAUCACAGUCCAGACUCCAGAUUAUAUAUGAAUGGCAUGGCAAAUAUCAAGAUUUUAUGACAAAUAGGGUUUUAGUUAACCUGAUGAACGUGUCUGUGGGGUUGAAGAAUCAAGAAUCUCCCAGCAUGAUUAAACUCCUUUUUCAAUUCACAUACGGUAUAUAUCUGCUUCGGUUAAUAAAAUAAUUAUAUUUUUAUCAUACCGGUUUAUGAAAUGCAGGAUGCAGGUACUCUAGAUCGUGUAUUAAUUUAUUUAUUUUUUAGUCAUGGUAGAUAUUUAUGUUGGUGAUCCGUAUGAUAAAUUUUGCUUCUGUAAAAUUUUAGUUAUGUUAUAAAUCUUCAAUAUAUAAAUAUAUAAAGAAUUGUAUUAACUUUAGAAUUCUAUAAAAAAAGAAUUGUAUUACCUUUAAAAUUCAAUAAAAAAAAAUUGUAUUACUUUUAGAAUUCGAUAAGAAAAGAAUUGUAUACCUUUAUAAGUCUUGAACUUGAUUUUUUGAAUUAUAACUAUAUUUUCUCUCCAAAAUUUAAGAAAAAUCAAGAAAAGAAUUGUAUACCUUUAUAAGUCUUGAACUUGAUUUUUUGAAUUAUAACUAUAUUUUCUCUCCAAAAUUUAAGAAAAAUCAGAAGACUGAAUCGAACAAUCCUAGAGACGCUCGCAUCCUCCUUUAUAUACCGCGCUUCGCGGCGGCGUUAUGAAUUUUUUUUAAAUUUAGACAAAAAAAUUGUUUUAGCUACUUUCCCGUCAAACAUAAUACUAAUAAAAAAAUAUUAUUAUUUAGGUAAAAAUUAAUUUGGGCCGCCCUCCCCUUAAACACAAUACUAAUAAAUAAUCUUUUUUUAUAAAUUUUGAUACGAAAUAAUAUUAUAAUUCCAUAAAAGUUAUUUUCAGUCGUGUUCCCGUUAAACAUAUCUUCAAUAUAUCUUAUCGAAAAUAAGAAUUGUAUAUAUUACUUUACAUAUCUUAAAUAUAAAUUGUAUUUUAUCUAUUAUUAUUAGUUUGAAUAAAUAUAAUCCUAUUUCUUUUAGAAUUACUAAAUAAGAAAAAAAUUGUAUCAUCUUUAAAAUUCAAUAAGAAAUACUAUUGUAUCAUCUUUAGAAUUUAAUAAGAAAUACAAAAUAAGAAAAGAACUGUAUCAUCUUUAGAAUUAAAUAAGAAAAGAAUUGUAUUACUUUUAGAAUUCUUGGACCUGAUUUUUUGAAUUAUAAUUAUAUUUUAUCUCCGAAAUUCAAGAAAAAUCAGAAGACUGAAUCGAACAAUCCUAGAGACGCCCGCAUCCUCCUUUAUAUAUAUAUAUAUUGAAUCUUUAGAGUGAGCUUGUUUCUUCUAUCUUCUGGGCGACAUUGACAAAGAGACCAAGCGCCAGGUAAUCCUUUUGCCUUCUGUGAUUUCUGUUGUUUGCUUUUCCCCCGUCUGCAACCACAAUUCAUUGAAUUUUGUAUGUAAUCUAUGCUCCUUCUGAAUCACACAUCAAGUUUAAAAAAAAAAGAAAAGAAGUACGUGUGUGUACGGGCGGGGAGAGAGAGAGUCUCAGAAAGAUACAGUGGUUGAUGAUCGAAAGAGGGGGGAGUGGGAGAUUGAGAGGGAGAGGGGGACAUAGAGAGAGAUGGAGGGUGGAAGAGAGAGAGAGAGAGAGGGAGCAGGAGGGGGAGGGAGAGAGACUUUUAUCUUACUGGCAUGGAUUCAUUCCCAUUCUUGAUUUCAAUUAUGUAUUGACUAGAUAUGUUUAAGCUAUAAGCCCUACUUUUAUCAAAUUCGGCAAUACUAGUUUAAUUAGGUCGUUCAGGUUAGGCUAAGAGCAAGUCCAACACUAUACUAAGAGGUUCCCUAAAAAUAUUAUAAAAUAAUAUGUCUUAGUGAUUUAGCACAAGAUUUAGCACAUGAGCUCCAAUAGUACUCCCUAUAUCCAUUCCCUAUUAUUAUAAUAAUAUUAAAUUUAAACAACUUUGGUGUGGAGGAGAGAGGGAAAUGAUGUGGAGGAGAGAGGGAAAUGAAUAUUUUAAUGAUAAAAAUAGUUUAGAAAUGGCUAGCAUAUUCUAAAAAUAGGGAAGGGGAGGCUUGAGCUAGUGAUUUAGCACAUCACUAGCAUAGUGUUGGAGUGCAAUUUUAUCUCAUAUUCCCUAUUUUUGGAUUUAAGACUUGAUUUAGCACACCUAUUGGACUUGCUCUAAAGAAAGAUGUUUAAGUGUUUGAGAUAGGGAGGUCGGGUAAGUUGAGUGAAUUAGCAACUUGAAUUGGUGAGAAAGAGAAUGAUUUCUUUAUUUUUAUAUUAUUUAUAUAUACUACUACCUCCGUCCCUUUUUACUUGUCACUUUGACUUUUUGCACGUAACUUAAGGUGAGUAAAAAACAUAAUUCCGCUCAUUAUUUUUUAAAUUUUCUUUUUGUGAAUAAAAAUAUAAACUAUAAACUUUAAUUCAAAAAAAGAAAAUUUUAAAAAUAAUAAGUAGAAGUAUGUUUUUUAAUCACCUUAAAUUACGUGCAAAAAGUCAAAGUGACAAGUAAAAAGGGACGGAGGUAGUACUUGUCUAGGUGUUAACUCAGGUUACAAGGCCUGAGAUUAUUCGUAUAUCGCAAUUGAAAUUUUGUAUCAAAUUAGAUACAUGUCCCUGAUCUUAGAGAGACAGAGUGAGCAUAAUCUUGGACUUGAUUUUUAUGGAAGUGGCCGGUUUUGGUUUUGGAGCAUUUUUUAUAACAUGCUUUGAUGGUACAGUGUCCUCCAGUUUACAAUACUUUCAAGAAUUUCCUGCUAUUAAUGAGACGAAAGGCUAUGUGAAUUAAAAGAAAAAUAAGUAUGAAGUUCUACAAAGAACAUAAGAUAACUUCUUUAUUUCUCGUUGAUGCCCUGAAACCAUACUUUGUUAGGAGCAGUAGGAUGGAAUUAAGUCUUUAUACGUACCUUAAUACCCACCUAGAAAUUUGAGAUGCAUUUGUUGAUAGUAAUUAACUUUAUGUGGGAAUUUCUGAAUCCACCUUACUUAUAUUUAUUAAGGCAAUAGAGUUUAAUUUCCGCUCCUUCUACGUGUAGGUAAUAACCUGUUUAUUUAUUUCUGUAUUUUCCUGACCUGUUAUAAUCUUGAAUACCUAUCCUGUUAUUUUGGAAAUAAAGUGUUGUUAUAUGUUAACCGAACGCAAUUUGUUAAUGCUUUUGUGGUUAUGAAGGUAAAUGAUGAGCUUGAAUGCUUUACUGACUUGAAACAGAAUUCAAAAAUUAAAGAAUUAUUACAAAAUGUCAGAGAAAAUAAGUAAAAGGACAGAAUUUAUUAGCAAAAGAAAGAAAGCAUUGAAUUAGGGUGUUUGAACCAUGGGACAACCCACAGCCUUAGGAUUCUCAACCACUGUAGAAAGGAGUUUGUAUGCCCGUAGUAGAGAACAAUUAUCAUAUUCAAAAUACAAAUCUAUAAGGCUGUAUUCUCUUGGAUGUAAUGAAACUGGGAGAGAAUGAUAUGGAUUUGUACUCCUAUAUGGGGUGUGUGUUUAUAAUUUUUUAUUUCUUCAUCCAAUUCACAUCCUAACAAUUUAAGCUAGAAUUCUAACCCGCCUGAACUGCUCCAUUCAUGUUAUUCUUCAUUUUCCCUACGAUCUUCAUCACUGAAAUUUCUACUAACCCAUGUUUUUUCACUAUUCUCCCAUACAUCCUUUCUUUCUCCAUAAAUUUUGUUCACUUGUCAUUCCAUUCCUACACCAUUGCAUUUUCUCCAAGUGAAGACAACCUAAGUUAUUCAUGUAUGUGGGAAUUACAAUUUCCUCUACAGAAGAUAGACCAGACCUAGAUCAGAAAUAAAGAGUUAAGACAACUAAUAUUCUCUAGAAUAUUCCUAUAUACUGUAAAAGGUUUAAAAUCUGUUAUGUUUUCACCAACUCUCCACUAUUCUUAUGUCCCAUUGUUGGGGAAAGGUUUGCCACAACUCAAGGUGUUUAACCUGCCAUGUAGCUUCUUUGGUUUAUCCGAUCCUUAAGGUGUUUGCAUGCUGAUCUUGUUGUAUUUCUCAGUCUUAUCGUUUGUUAUAAUUCUGAUGCUAGUGCUUUCAACCUCAUUGUGUCAGCUUCUUGACUUUUUUUCUGGAAAGGCUAGCUUUUCCUCGACUUCGUCAUGAAUUGUAGACAGAUCAUAUUGAUUUUAUUGACCUUCUGAUGAUGACUUUUCUUCGCAGUUUUUACCCUGUUGAAUAUGUAUUUUUUUGUCAUGUUUUUUCUUUUAAUUUUUCUUGCAGUUGAUAAUGCCAUCUUGAUCUUAUUAAUGUCAAGCUUGCAGUGCUUUAUUCAAUUCAUACAAGUAUACAACAUGGAUUAAUAUAAUUUUAGCUCGCUUUGAUGAUGACAAACAUGUACUCGUAGUACAAGAAAUCACAUUGCUCGUUGAAAUAAGAAAUUUUACCUUCGACAAACUUAAUUUAGGAUAGUGUGGAUUAAUACAUAAUUCAAAGCUUGUUGUUGCUGAUCUAUAACUAGAUUGUUGGACUGAUAAGAUGAGAGUGUAGGUUAUGAAGUUUAACUUCAGGAAUUACAGGGGUGAAUGUGCAAAUUCUAGAAAGUUUGAACAUAUUUGUGAAUGUCAGAGAUUCCAGGAUUUUUUAAAACCUUUUUUUUUUUAACUUCAGGGGCUAAAUAAGUACUUGAAGUAUCUUAGAAAGAUUUUAAAUGAUUCCUAGAACACGGUAUGUGUGUAAAAACUUUCGAUGAUCAGGGUUAUUAUAUAUGAAAAUCUCACACUGCUGGGUUGGUUAUCAAAAAGUUGAGGAAUUUUGAGAUGAAUUACUUUUUUCACAAAAACCUGCUAGGCCGAUUUUAAAGAUUGGAAACAGCUCGAGGGUGAUGCCAUAGCAAACAUAUUAUUCAUGGUUCACUGAACAGUGUAGUUGAAUAACACCCGCUGCAAACAGUACAUCUUUAUGAAUGGUAGUGAAAAGUUAUGUUGUAAUUUUGUUGUUAACCAAUAUAUCAGAACAUCUUCUUUGUUGAAACCUUUGCACAAGUUUUCUUCAAAUACUGCAUUCUAUUUUUGGUUAAGCAAAUCUUCCAAGGGCAUAUUUUUGUGCACAUUUGUUUUUCAUUAUAUCUCCAACUCAGCUAAUAGUUUUCUUUCUGACUGCGAUGUUUCCAUUUUCCAGGUAACUAAACAUGGGAAAUAAGGCUGCUAAGCCAGAACCAAAGAAGGACGAGAUUCUUGUGAAGGUCAUGCCUCCACUCGACCCUACAUAUGUUCGCUGGCUUGCUCGAGACCUGGAACGAAUCUAUGGCUAUACUCCCAAAUAUCCUUGUGCAGUGAAACCACCAGAUCAUUAUAUCGAGUACAUGCGUUUACAAGGAUGGUUGGAUGUGGACUUGAAUGACCCCGACUUAGCUCAUCUGUUCAAGUAAAUUACAUGUUCUGUACUUAUAAAAGUCUUUCUAUCACUUAAAGCUAAUUUUAUUACUUGAAAUUUGUAGCAAACACAGUAUGCUGACAUUCAAUUAUGCUUGCAUGUAUACAAAUUGUCAAUGUGUUUAAUCUGUACUCUGUUGUUGGGUUUAAGUGGAGAUCGAUACUAGUAAGUGACACGGGGGAGUGUCCCUCCUAAAAUUUUUUUUGACAUGUUUUUAGUUUUCACCAUUCUAAAUUUUGUAAAAUUAUAUAAGCAUCUCUACAAAAUUUGAAAAUAUGUAGUAGUUUUUUGAAAAUGUGCUUGGUACCCUUCAAAUAAAAUAAUCAUAGAUCCGUCCCCGGAUACAGGUAUCUAAAAAUUACAGUAGAUAGAUACUGAAAAUCACUAUACAUAGAAUUUGGAAUUAAAUACAUUUUGAAUAUACUGUAUGAUGAAAGUAAAAGAGUGAAGAUUACAAAGUAGUAAGCAUAUUCAAAAUAUAAUCGAGUAGUUUCGAGCUAUACAUAACACGUUUUUCUGAACAGGAUUACAUGUAUCACAUAACUUGAGUCACCCCAAUGGAAGGUUUGAAAUGCUCUCCUUCAUCCACAGAAUGAAUCCCAUGUUUAGUUUCAUCAUAUUUCUCCCCAUCUCCCCACAAUGCAUAAGCCUCUUCUCCGUGCACCGCAUCAUCUCCAAUGACCAGCUGUUCUUCGGACAUUCGUAGUGGCAUUAUGAAACUUAUAACGACACAGAUUAUCGACGUGACAACAAUGUUCCAGCCAAUGAUAAAACCACCGCCAACAAGCUGUUUACCCAUCUGAGAACCACCUCCGUAGGCUGCACCCCUGGUAUCUGGUAUUGGCAGGAACAAUCUGCAGAGUGCUGGCUCUGCGAAAACCCCUGUGAGAAAACCGCCUAGGUAGCCAGCGACGGCGUGAGUGUGGAAGACGCCGAGUGUGUCGUCGAUUUUCUGGAGCAGAGUCCAUCUUUUGUGGACAACCAUCAUGGUGAACCACGGAAUGCUGCCGGAGAGAAUUCCCAUUACAAUCGCUGCCCAUCCUUGCACAAGACCUUCAAAUAACCACCAGCAAUAUUGCAUUUCAGAUAAUCAUCAGUUGCAGUCAUUGCUUAGAAAAUAACCGGACAAAUCUUAAGUACUGCUAAUUUUUUGAUAUGAGUCGAGGACCGGAACGGAUAUAUGAUCCAAGUCAUAAAAACAUCAAGUAAAUUUUCGAAAAACACUUAUAUAUUUUUUAAAUUUUAUGAGGGCAAAUUUUAUAAGAUUUAGAAUAGUGGAUAUCUAGUGAAAAGAUAUUAAAAAAUGUGUUACCCGUGUCUCCAGAUCCGUCUCUAGUUGGAGAUUAAAAUGUUUUCUUACUUAAUUUUAGUUUUAAUUUUUAAAACUAAAAUCUGGAAAAAGAAAUUGACGGCGUAUUUCUGACCUAAGCACGUAUCUAAGCACUAGUGUGUAAUUCAAACUAACUACAGUACAAAAAUACUGUACUAUAAAUAAAUCAAACUUUUAAUUUCUUUGACCUAGUAUAAAAGAUAACUACUUGAACAUUUUGUAGCAAAGGGACCACUAAUAUGGUACAGUAGUUUCAUAAUCAAGAGGUCAAACUCAGAAGUUGACUGACAAUAUUGUUUUGGAUUCGUAUACAGUGAUUGAAACAUAUCUCAGUCCUGGUUGAUCAGUGGAACUAUUGUUGGGGACAAAUGUGGUACACGGAAAAUAUGGCACAAACAGUUUAAACGUGAGAUUUUCUUGCAUGCUCAAUAUAAGACUUGGGCAAACAUUAUGAUGCCCAUGUUCUCCUUGGACUUUGUAUUUGUAUAGUCCCCUUUAAACCUAUUUGAGAGGAAAAUUUCAUAAUUGUGUAAUAUACUUCAUAUUUAAUAUUUAAUAAAUAUUUAAUAUUUUUUAUUUAUUAAAAUAAGUCAUUUACUUUCAAAAACAGUAUACACGUAUAUAUUUUUCUAAAUAAUUCACCGAAAAAUAAGAUAAGGCGAAUGAGAUUGAUUUGUCCGUCACAAAAAAAAUAUAUGCCAAGUCACUUGAUUUUGCCUAUGCAUAUUCAUUUAUAUAUAUAGUCAUAUUUUUGAUCCGGUUUGAGAAAAUUUUAUGAAAAUAAGAACUUAAUUUCAAAAAAAGUACAUAGUGACAUUUUUUAUGAAUCUGAUAAAUAUAUAUUCAAUUUUAGAAAAUAUAUAAAUUAUAUUUACGCACUAUGUUCUCAAAUAGAAGCAACUAAUUUUGAUAAAUACGAUAAGUUAAAUUAGACACCUCAAAUAACCUUUUUACAGAUAAAACCUUUGUAUAUGUUGAGUAGAAUCUUUCUAAAGCAAUGACGUGCUUUUAACUAGUCAAAUAUGUACACUCUUCAUAUUUCACGCUACCAUACAGUUGACUAGUAUGAGAUAGCCACAGGGGAUGAAAAUAUGUACCUGCACCAGGAGUAAUGCAAACGAGGCCGGUGAUCAUGCCCUGAACAGCUCCGAUCACUGAAGGUUUUUUGAAGAAGAUCACAUCCAGCCAUGUCCACACUAGUAAACUAGUCGCUGCACAUAUGUUGGUGUUCAGAAUCGCCAUUGACGAGUCUAUGUUCGCCGUGUAAGGCCCUCCUCCGUUGAAACCAGCCCAUCCCAUCCACAGCAGUCCUGCUCCGGCCAACAUCAGCAAUAUAUUGUUUGGUGGAAAUCUCUCCCUGUCUGCCCUCGACCUUGGCCCGACCUGAAAAAUAAAAUUAGAGUCAACAUGUGUUAUUGUCUGUUACGGAAAUUUAAAUACUCUAGAUACGAGAUAGUUAGAGUUAGUAUCUAUAGUCUGUUACGAAAAUUUUAAUACUCUGGAUAUGAGAUAGUUAGAGUUAGUACUCCCUCAGUCUCCUCAAUUGUAUAUAUCGGGGAAGUGAAUAAAAACAGUAUGAAAAUGAAUGGGACGGAGGGAGUAGUAAUUACCCAAUAAGCAGCGGUUAAUCCAGCGAUACCAGAAGAGAGAUGGAUAACGUAGCCACCAGUGUAAUCGAUAACGCCCCAUUGGAACAAGAAUCCGCCGCCCCACAAGCUGAACGCUCCCACAGUGUACGAAAACGUCAACCAGAGAGGCACGAACAUCAUCCAAGCCUUGAUGUUCAUCCUCCCCAGCAACGAGCCAGCCAACAAGAUCAGAGUAAUACAAGCAAACACGCACUGAUACCAAACCAUAGACGCCAUGGGAAAGUACGGCUCGAUCAUAGGCAUCUGUUCCGUGCCAUUGUCAUAAUUGUGUCGUGUGGCUGGCAACUCAGCUUGGCCGAUCAAGAACCUCUGGCCUAAAGCUGGCCCAGCUUUUCCCCAAAACGGCAGAAGCUUUUCGCCAAACGACAUCUUGUAAGCCCAUGUCACCCAGCAAAUUAUGACUGCUGCGAAUGCAUAGAGAGCCAUGAAAGCCGAAUUCACGGCCCAUUUUUUCUUGACAAUGCUUCCGUAGAGGAUCACGAGGCCCGGGACACUCUGCAUCCCCACCACCGUGGCCGCCAUCAUCUGCCAUGCGUUGUCGCCUUUGUUUAGCCAGUCAGGCACCGAGGAAGUGUUGUUUAGGUACGCUAUCGGUACUGUGGUAUUAUUACUCAUGGCUCCAGAGUAAAUUGCAGACGAUACUCAAGAUUAAAGAUUUUGGUAGGUGAGGUCUAUGAAUUAUGGCAACUUAGCUCCACAUAUAUAGAUGCAUUCGCAUAGAGAUUCCUCAGAGAUCCAUUGACUCAGUUUAGGUCAAUGAAGACAUGACAUACGAAUGCGCUGUCGUGAUAGUACGUGCUUGCUUGAACAUUAACUACCAAUUUUUCGCGUACACAAAAAAAAUAAAAAAAAUUAACCCGAAUCCAAAACAAGCCGAGAUAUUUAUAUGAUAAUAGUACCGAAUAGUCGAAUACAAUUAACUGUGAAUGCAAAAUGUCUUGAACUGGGAACACGGUUUCAACAAAGAAAAGUCUAGCCAUAGUUGCGCCCAACUUGCGCUCUUUUGUUUUGGGGUGAUGAGUCCACUUCCAACCACCCAAUAAACCAAUCCUGCUGAGAGCGAGAGCUGCUUUCUAACUCAAGCAUCGAAUCAAAGACUUUUACACAGACCUAGAAGCAGCCAAAAUUGCGGCUCACAGAUCAGACCAGAGUCUUGUACACCGUAGACUGGGGCGGAUCUAGAAUUCAAAUUUUGGGGCGCCAAACAAAUUUCAAAAAACACCUAUGUAUUUUUAAAUUCUGUAAGGGCACUUCUAUAAUUUGUAAAAUUUAGAAUGAUGGAAAAAUGUCAAAAAUAAAACUUAAAGGGCACACCGCACGCGUGUCUCUCGUGCCUCUUACUAGAUUUUAUAAUUCUACCGGGAUGCUCUUCUAAUUUUGUAAAAGAACAUUCAAGAGCACACCGCACACGUGUCUCCCGUGCCUCUUACUAGAUCCGUCACUGACCGUAGACGAUGUAGAGACCGUGAGCCACGAGCGUCUGAUCCUCAGAAUCUGCUAGAAUUUCGUCAUUUUUUGUGGAAUUUUUUUCUAAGCAUUUAAUUGUUGAUUAAGUAGGAUUUGUCGAUAUACACACUGAUAAAUGAGAAGACUUGAAUAUUGAAGAGUCUACGCAUCUAAAGAUACCUUUUGUACACAGAAAAGUUAAAGAUUUUCCAAGGAAUCUAUUUCUGACGUUGAUAUAAAAUUGAUUAGAGCAUGUAGCUGGCAGUUUGUUCACAUUCUUUCCGUUGAUAAUUUGUAAAAGCAGCUGGCCAUUGACAUUUCAAAUGAACAAUUAACAAAGGAAAAUUAAUAAAGUAUGUUCCGGACUCCAUGGAUUCAACUUGAAAUAUUAUCAUGUCCUUGUGUACGGUGUGGCGUAUUUUGAUGACCAAGUAAGCAAUUGCUUGUACGUUAAUGGCUCAAAUUAAACAUUGAAAAAGUUGGUAGUGAUAUUAUGACUUUAAAUUUAAGUGGAUAGAAUUGAUAACAGAACUAUGAAUAUGGUCAAUCUGAAAUAUAACGAUGAGAGUAGGUAAAGAUGAUGCAAGUGCCGAACGGCGAAACAAAAACUAACGAAUGCUUUCGUGAAAACGACCCAUAUUUAAAAACAGAGAGAAUUAUAAUCGGGGCAUACUUUUUCCGUGAGAAGAAAUUAGAUUAGUUCUGAGGACUUAGACAUGAAAUCAAAAGUAUUCAUGGAUUCCUAAUCAUUAGUCCAAAUAUAAAUUUAGAUAUUUAGUUGUGCGCAUGCAGUUCUAGCGAACUAUUGAUGCGCAGUUAUUCCACGAACCAAUCAUUCUUCUUAAUUUGCACGAUGCUGGUAGCAUUUAUGUCUGCAGACAAGUACUCCCUCCGUCCCCCUCAAUUGUUUAUAUUAGAGGAGAACGGGGACGCGGCACGGACUUUAAUGCUCCUGUAAAGUAUAGUUCUAUAAAUUUUUUUUAAGAUUUUUUUUUCUAAAUAAAAGUUUGAAUGUUAUAUUUUUAUUCAGAAAAAAAAAUCUUAAAAAUAUGUUAUAAAAUUAUAUUUUACAAGAGCAUUGAAGUGCGUGUCGAGCAGUGAAAAAGAAACGUAUAGAAUUAAAUGGGACAGAGGGAGUAAUAUAUAAAAAGGAGAGAGUGUAAAUGGGACAGAGAGAGUAAUAUAUAAAAAGAAGAGAGUGGAGUAAAAAUAGUGUGAAAAGAAAGAAAAAGUGUAAAAGUGGUAGGACCCGUUAACUAUUUUAGGAAGUUUUGUAAUGUAAAGAAAUGAGUGAGACGGCUUAAAAAGAAAACGGUAAAGAAUCUGGUGGGACGGAGGGAGUAAUAGACAUCGGCUAAUACAAAUGAUCGUACCUGGCCAGGGGAAACCAAAACUGGAAGUAUUCAUACGGUAAGGAUAACGACGAUGGUGGUAAUAAUUUGAGUGAUGAGAGUGGAGAGAAGGAUCGGGUAUUUUCCUCGCAUACCAGUACGGAUGGUGGAUCGGAUAGGGCUGAUGAUGAUAAGUACUAUAGAUAUCAGCCAUUCCUAAAGAACCGUCUCCAUAAGUAUGAAUUAUUGGAACUUGACGACGGAUGUUGAAGCUUAACAAGAAGCAGCUCCGCAUGCUGCCCUGCUUGGGCUAAUGCAUAGAGCAGCAUGUUUAGAUCCACUUGUCCUGAUAUAUCUGCUAUUCCUCUAUCACUGCAUGCAUUCAUGCAAUAUGGUUGCAAAAUCAUUAAGCAAUCCAAACCAAAUUAAAAUUGUGGAUUUGGAUCCAUUUGAAAUCACAUUUACGAAAAUGAAUUUGGUUUCUAGUCUCAUAUUUCUCACACAUCUAACCACACACACAUUACCACAUGCACAUCCUAUGAUUCGAACAUGACUUUAUUUGAAAAAACCAAGAGCUUGAACCACUACAUCAACUCACACACUCACACACACUAUUGUUAUAUUUAGUAUUCAUUACAUUGUCAUUUGAGUGUAUUAAUUUUUGUUCAUUAUAUAAUACUUAUUUUUACCUACUAAACUAGUUAUCCAUAAUUCAAACUAUAAUUAUAACCACAUUUAUUAAUAUAUGAUUUAAAAAUGGUUUUGGUUCAUUUCUCCAAAGUAAAUCUAUUUUAUAAGAAUCAAAACCAAAUUAAAAUCACAUUUUGCCAUCGGAAUCAGGAUUUUAGUACCUCGGUAUUUUGAUCAAAUAGUAUUCACUUUUACAAAACAAAUCAACUUGUUUUUUGCGAAUCGAGUAAAGAUAAUUAAUAUAUAAUAAAUUAAUCGUCGAGAUUUUUUCGAGAUAGUCACGCACCGCAGAUGGAACCUACAACCUCCAGCACCUUCAUCUUGCAAGCUUCACAGUUCGCAUUCACUUUCAGAACACACCCCUAGUUCAAAAUCCACUAAACCAAAAAAUAAUUAAUAAUUACCUGUAUGGUAAUAAUUAAUUCUACUUGUGGAAAAUUACCUGUAUAAUUUUGUCAUCAUUCUUUUUUUAAUGAGGUAAUUAUACUUUCAAACAAUUGGCCAGAUUAUAAUUUAAGUAAUUUUUAAUAUAUUAUAAAGUACAUUUUUGUAUAUAAAAAAAAACUACAUUAAGUGUCUAUUAAAACACUACAAGAAAAACCGGGUAUUUUUGACCGGUUAUUUUUGACCGCCUUAUUUUUGACCGAACGCAGUCAUAUUUAAGGUCAAACUCGCAUUUCACCAAGUCAAGGCUAAAAUUGACCGAUUAAUUUUGACUGCUCACAAUUUUGACCGAAAACGGUCAAAAUUAGUUUUCGGUCAAAUUUAUCCGGUCAAUUUUAAAUGGCGGGCUCCGCAAAAAAUUGAGGGAAAUUUCCCGCCAAAGCAUGUUUUCGAUGACGUCAUCAAAUUUGACCGAUCGCGGUCAAAUUUGUGUGCGGUCAAAAUUAUUUUCUAGGCGGGAAUUUUCCCGCACAAAGUUUCAAAAAAAAUUAAAUAUAUGUUUGACUCGUCUAUUUUCCCUUUUCCACCAUUUCUUUUCUAUUUUCUCAUCAAAUCGUUGAGAUCAUCAAGUAAGUAUCACAUUCUAGUAUUUAAAUUAUUUUUUUUCUUUUAAAUAAUAUAAAUUCAAUACCUAAUUAUGAUAAUUAUAUUGGUUAAAUUGUCUUUCCUAAAUUUGUUAAAUUAGUGUAGAGUAUUGUUUGUGAAAUUGGUAUAAAUGUUUGAUGUUACUCAUGUAUGAUGAAAUUAGUAUAGAUUUGUGUAUUAGUAUAAAUUUUAGGUAUGAGUUAAUUAGAAUUUUGUGAUUUUAUUUUAUUUGUAUUUAUAUUGAAUUUUGUAGACGAACAUUAACUUUAAUCCAUAACAUGUCUGGACGAUAAAACAAAUAUUAUAAAAGAAUAACCAACAAACAAAUAUCACUAAAAGUUACGGCAUUGACAUUUUCAUUCAUCAAUAUCAUGUCAAGAUUAUAUUUUUCUCCCUUGUUUGGAUUUGUCGACUCUCACAUCCGACAAACUCUUAUUCUCAUAAGUCAAUAAUCUCUGUCGAUAUUCAAAGUAUCUAACAUAGUAUAACUCAUUCCCUUGUAAUUGAUACAAGGUUUAUGAGGGACUAACUCAUCUUUUGAGGCUGACUUUUUGAAACUCACUUCGACUUUUAAGACUAAAAUGCACAAGUAGAUGUAUGCAUAUAAUGUUGUAAGUUGUUAGCCUAACCUUGGUGAUAGAAUUUCUAACUGCUUUAGUAAUUGAUUUUGCUGUAGUAAUUGAUUUUGCAGCGUAAAACUUAUCUUAUCAGUUAUGAAUGGUAUCAGUUAUAAAUGGUGUAUGAUGAAGUUUAUUUACAGUGUCUAUCUAAUUUAAGUUUACAUUAAAUUGCAAAGUUCAGUAUUGUUAGUUUGGGUUGUGAUUGGAUUGGGUUAUUUUGAUUUGGUUACAGGUGGGAUAGUAGUAUAUAUAGCUAGGUCAUGACGUUUUUUUUUGGUAAUAUUAUUGUUAAAUUUGGCUGUUUUCGGUCGAAUUAAACUUAUUAUAUUUGAACGAAAACGGUCAAAUUUAUAAAUUUGACUACAACUUUCUAGUCAAAAAUAUAAAAUUGACUAACUGAAAUAAGUGGUCAAAUUUAUAAAUAUGACUGGAUAUCAGAGGUCAAAAAAAUAAAUUUGACCGAGUUGGUCAAAUUAAUUUAAAAAUAGGCGGGAAAUUUGAAUUUUCGUGAAAAUUUGAAGUUCGAAAAAAAUAGUCAAAAUUGACCGCAAACGGUCAAAAUUGGCGGUCAAUUUUAAACGGUCAAAACUAACCAGUCAAUUUUAUCCGGUCAAAUUUAACUAUUUUUGACCGAAAAUGACUAAAAUCCACUAAGCUAUGACUGACCGCCGAUUCCGGUCAAAAUUAACUAAAUUUGACCGAAUCCGGUCAAAUUUAACUAAAAUUGACCAGAAAUGGCGGUCAAUUUUAUCCAUUUUUCUUGUAGUGAAAUUAGUUCAUGAAUAAAAAUAAAGAACAACGUAAUUUAUAUGGGGUUAAUUAUCUAGUUGGUCAUUGAAGUGAACUUAAUGUAUCAAGUUGGUCAUUGAACUUAAAACGAUAUCAAGAUGGUCAUUAAAGUCAUCAUAAAUAUCAAACAAGUAUCUAGAAAUAUGAGUUCAAGCAGUAAAAAUAUUUUUUAUAAAGUUUUACACAUGAUUUUUGAAUGUUAUCAUAACCAAGUAAAAUGUUAUGACUUCUAGUAUUUAUGAUAAAGUAUUUAGAUUUUAUCAAAUAAUGUGUAAAAUUUUAUAAAUAAUAUUUUUACCGCUUAAACUCACAUUUCGAUGUACCUAUUUGAAUUUAUGAUGAUUUUAGUGACCAUUUCAAUAUCAAUUUCAGUUCAAAGACCAACUUAAUAAGUCCUGUUCAAUGAAUAACUAGAUAAUUAAUCCAAUUCAUAUGUACUUUCGCGUAAUCUUUUACGUCAAAGUUAUUGUCCAGAGACUUUCUCGUAUUGACUAACGAAAGACGAAAGUUUGUACAGGGGCAAAUUACUCUGCAAAUUGAAUAUUACAGAAUUUAUUAAUGGGCUACGACCCUGUUGUUAUCAUCCGCUUCUUAUUUAAUGGACCAUCUCGCCACAGACAAAAGCCCAAUUGUUUAUAUUGUUUUAGAGGUUUUUUUUUCAUUCACCUAGCUUCUAUCUUUUUUUCUUUUUUUUUUUAAAAUCUACAUACACGUAGAUAAAUUGUAUCGAAAUACAAUAAACCGCAUUAGGGAUUUCUUUUUUUCAAGAAAGUUUAUCAUCUAACCGAAAGUCAUGCAAGCAUAACUCCGGACGCUUAGACAAUAAAGCUUAAAUGAAUAAGUAAAGAAAACCCAUAAGUCCCGUAGCUUCCAGAGUAUCCUGAAAAAACAAAUCAAACAAAACAUAAAUCAACAUACAAAAAAAUCACACACAUAUAAGUUUAAUUAAAGUAAAAUAGAAAAUCUAAUAAAAAGCAAAACAAAAAUAUAUAUAUAUAUUAAAAAUAGAUAGAAAAUAAAAUAAUAUAGAAAUAUUAAUUAAUUUCUAACCAAAGGAAAAUCCUUUGGUUAGACACAUAAAAAUUAAUUUUUUGGAACAAUAAAAAUNNNNNNNNNNNNNNNNNNNNNNNNNNNNNNNNNNNNNNNNNNNNNNNNNNNNNNNNNNNNNNNNNNNNNNNNNNNNNNNNNNNNNNNNNNNNNNNNNNNNNNNNNNNNNNNNNNNNNNNNNNNNNNNNNNNNNNNNNNNNNNNNNNNNNNNNNNNNNNNNNNNNNNNNNNNNNNNNNNNNNNNNNNNNNNNNNNNNNNNNNNNNNNNNNNNNNNNNNNNNNNNNNNNNNNNNNNNNNNNNNNNNNNNNNNNNNNNNNNNNNNNNNNNNNNNNNNNNNNNNNNNNNNNNNNNNNNAAUUUAUCAAUUUAAGAUAAUUCAUUUGUAUACAAACGGUCAAUUAAUUAUUCAAAUUAAAGCAUAAUUUACUCAAAUUAAAAACAAAAAUACAAGUUAAUGCAUGUAGUGGAAAGUCAAAUUCCAAGGAUAAACAAAUUUAAAAAGGAGUCAACUAUCCAUUCAAAAAUAACUGAUUUUAAGAUUUGCAAUUACUACUAUUAAAACCAAAUAAUAUUCAAAAUUACAAAUCUAAAACUAGAAUCACGGAAUAAAAUUAGUCAGUCAGGCUAAUCUAAUAUUGCAACACGCACUAAUUAAGUCACUAGUGCACCGGCUCCACCGUCACCAUCCAAGAACCGCAAACAAUUAUCAUGAACACUAGCGAAAAAACUAAAAAUCGAACAUGAAGAUACAAAACACCAAAUGUAACUGAUAGGAAGAUCGAUAAUACCUAUCCAAUCUUUUCAAGUUCGGACAAAAAUAGAUAGAAAAAGAUGAGAAUUGGAUACGAAAAACAACCCAAACAAUAAUAAAUUUAAGCACACAAUUAUACCUAAUCAUGAAAUAUGAAUCAUCUCACAAUAAAAUAUACAAAAAAACAAAUACCAAUCACAUAAUCAUAAUCAUGUAGGUUUAUGUUUUGAAAAGAUCACACCUGUUUUUUUUAAGUAUUUCCGUAGAUCUCCAAGACAAUUUGCUGAUGAAGGAGGUGUUGACAGCGUAGAUGGCGUUGCCCAAAGAUUAGUAUAGAGUCGGAUAUUCUUUCCUUAGCCAUGGCGCUUAGAUCAAAGAUUAAAAGUUAAAAAGAUACGUUAAAAAGAAAAUAGCAAUGUUGGUGAAGCAUGAUCUGAGAAGGGUGGCUAAUGCGGUAGGAGUGGGACAAUGGUGGUGUGUUCGGGGACAAACGCCCGGUAACGAGUCCCUCACUUGACACCCCACAAUCAGCUGAUUCUGCUCCACCCCAGUAAGCCCAGUCACCUAGCUUCUAUCUUAAUUUAGGUGUAUAUCAACUAAAAAUAUAUUUUGUUAUUAAAUAUCAAUGUAAAAUUUUAAAUUAUAAAUAUCAAAUUACCUGUCCAAACUGAUUUAGUUCCGUACCGUCUGCUUUUUGUUGGUUCAAAAAUAGGUACACGGUCCGACAUUUGGAUUAAACGAUCGCAGGGAAGACGCAGCUAGCUCGUAAACGAUACGCACACAGUGUAUAUUGUGUGACGUGUUAAAAGUUUCGAGUGAAACAAUUAAUCAACUAACAUAGACAAAACAGUGUUAGCUCUAACACUACGUGGUCCGGUGGUUUAGCUACAAUAACAUUGCUUCUUCCAUAAUUCAUGCAUGUUCGUGAAGCACUAUACCUUUAAGCAAUGUGUAAUCCAGGGAUAAUAUGAUAUUUCUCGGUAUCCGCUGCAUAUUAAAUAAUAUGCAUAUGUGGUGCGUGAUUGAAUAUCUCACAAGUAUCAGAACUGUUAAUCCCGAAUAUCGGGGUUCGAUAAUUGUUCAUCUCGAAAAAUAUUAGAACAUAUUUAUUUAUAAGGUGAAGAUAAAAUAAUGUUAUUAUUAAUAAAUUUAAUUUAGUUUUUAAUUAUUUGUUAUUUUAAAUAUAUAUAAACCUGGGGACUUUUUUUGACAAAUAUGAUUUAUAGCCUUACAAAUGAGUAUCCGUUCUACGAGCCAGUAUCGAACCCAGGAACUGGGACGACAAAUGAUAAGUUUUUAACCAUUAAGCUAUAAUAUAUUUUUAUAUAUAAAUUGAAAAAUGUACAAGCUUCAAAGAAACGGUUGUUGACCUCUACUUUCUUCAGCUUCGUCCGUGUUUAUAAGUGUUACAAGUGUCAUGUUAAAUUUAAUAAAUUUACUAUGUAAAUUGAAUAAAUUUUAUUAAUAAUCCAUUGAGAAUUUGUUAAAGUUUUUCUUUUUGUUAGAAUAAAUUUGUUAAGGUUAAGUACAUAUCAUCCCUCUAUUGAUAAAUUUGUAUAAUUUUUUUAAAAUAUUAAUUAUUGUCAUUUACGAGUUUGAUGUGGUUAUGCCAGAAUAUAUUAACACAACACAGACAAAAUGAUUUUCUGAUGACAUAAAAAUUUCAAGAUAUCCAGCUAACUAUUAUUUAUGAAAAAAUUAUGGGAAAACUAAGCAGCUAGCCUUAAAUCCUUUCUGUAUAUAAACAUAAUAGAAUCAACAAUCAAACAAGAAACGCAUGCAUAACGUCCGUAACAACACACAACUCAAGUACUAACAUGAUCACAACUUAUCACACUCAGUUGGCAUGAAAGACAACGUCUGAGCCUUGAGAUCAUGAAGCACCAUCAUAUUCUGCUGCUGCACAUUCCCGAAUAUCGACAUUCCUUGUGAACUCCCCAUGGCUAAACACACAACUCCGAUACUCGAAUCCGCAAUCAUGUAGUUCUCGGCUGGCAAAUCGAGACUCCCUCCGUCGAAAUGGAAUAAUAGUUUCGGGACCUCGACGCUGUCAACGUUUGCGGGUAAUUUGAAGCAGACGUCGAGGCCCAUUGAGCCAGAGUCGUCUACGGGUAACUUUGUUUGUGAAACGAACUCUUUUUUUAUUUCGUCGAAUGCGGAUUCUUCGAGGUACGUGAUGGUGGUGCCAGAGUCGAUGAUGAGGCCUCCGCUCCCGUCCGCGUCGUUGAGUGCGAAGACGGACUCAUCGAUUGAUAGCUUUGUGUCGCCCACUGUGAUGCCUUUGAGUGAAAGGUAAUAAAAGGAAGGGAAUGAUGGGUUUUUUAUGAGUGGAGUCGAUAUCAUUUUUCCGUCAGAUUUGGAUUGCGCGCUCGCGGCUUGCCCCAUGAAAAGUGUACUCGUACUAGUUUCGUCAUCAAUCGAUGUUAAACAAUACGAGAAAAUUGGCUCGUCCAUUUGCGAAAUUAACGAGAGCGGGCCUCUCCCGAGGCCAACGAGUCCGGCCCCCUGGCUGAACCCGCUGCCCUCGUUAUCCGAACCGCAACCGAAACCGAUGUUCGGGACUGAGACUUUCCCGAACGUGAAAGUCUCGGUCGCCAAUUCGCCUUCGGUCGAGGACUGAUCACCGUAGGUGUAAAGAUACUCGCAAGACUGUUUACUUUUGCCGCAAGUAAACGUCGGUAGAGCCGUGCAUAGUUUAUUCGAACACGGUAUCGCCGAAUACGAAGACGAUUUCGACGGAUCAAAAAUCGGCGUCGCCUGAUCGAAACACUCGUCACAAGGCUUGCAUUGCGUCCAUAUUAAAUCACUCCCCGUAUCCAAAAUCGCUGAAUAUAAUUCGGCUGGAGUUCCAAUCGCUAUGUCCAUUAAAUACUCGCCGCUUCCCGCAUGCACUUUCGACUUCGCUGACGAUGAUUUUGUCGUCUCAACCGCUAUCGAAUACGACGACAAUUUGUUAAGCCUUUGUAGCCUGUUUUUCCCGCGCUUGAUUGCGCGUUCGAAGAGCUCAAUUUUGGUUAAAUUCUUGCCAUAAUCGCGGUGCGUUAAGGUGAUCUUGAUGCCAGGUGUUUUAAUCGAUUUGUUUAGAGCUCGUCUCGAUGUCGAAUCGGCUGGGGAGAUUAAGAACAGGAGAGUUAACGACAGGGUUAGGAAGAUGAGUGAAGAGAAUGAAGACAUGGUUGUGAUCAAGUGGCUGAGGGAAUGUUGUGUAAGAAAGUGGAAAUAUAUAUAGAAGUUUUUUAAGUGGGAGAAGAGGUCUUUGAGUACGAAGUGUUAGAACGUAUGUAACGUGAUUGCCAAAAAAGUGGGAGAAAUUAGAGGGUCUGAUGACUAUUUAUUAAGACCAAGGACAGAAGUCACAGUAAAAUAUGUCUGGUGUACUCAAACAAGUUCUUUACUAAUAUAAUUUAUAUUAAAAUAUAUUUAUAUAAUGAUAUAAUUUGUAGAAUGCAAUUAUUAAUAUGAAUGCUUAUUAAAAAAAACCUUGGUAUUAUGAUUAUAAUUUGUUUAUUAAUUAAUUAAACAGACCCCGUAGGGACUGAAUUAUAGUGUUUAGACAAAUACUAAAAUACGAGCAUGCGAAUAACAAAUUUAGGAGAUUGAUAAAUAUCUUUUAUAAUAGUGUUUAUUUAUAAGAAAAUUUUCAGGAGAAAGGUGAUGCGUCGAGCUUUCUCACCAGUUUGGUAGUAUAGCAUGGUGUUGCUGACUGUAGGUUUAAUUUUUCUAUAUAUUGAUUUUGGGGGUGGGUCUGUGGGGUGAGAAUAACAAUCAUAAUAGGUCAGAAACUUGGUUGAGAAACAACUUUGAUGUGCUUAAAAUACCUAAUUAUUUUCCUUAUCACCAUCAUAGAGAUUAAGACUUUACAGCCACAACUUGAUAGCUCGAUUGAAUUAUAAAACACAUUUCUAUCCAUUCAUGAUCAUUAAAGAAAAAGAGAAUGAUGAGCUCUUCCUAUUUUAAGUUAUUAUUAUAUUAUAAAUUAAAGAUCCAAAAUGAAUAAAGCAUUGCUCUAAAUAACAUCGUUAAUAUUUGCUUAAACAUACGUAGAUACUUUGAGAUUAAUUAAUUGUAGCAUUUUAGAUGUGGUGGGUCACCUGAUUUUGUUUACCGACAAGACCACACCACGAUAUACACAUAUGUGCUUGUUUUUAUGUCACGCUUUCUUGACAGAAGAUAGCUCCAAGAUAUUCUGUUUCAAUUAGGUAAGAAGUUGUACGUUUAGUUUCGUCGAUUUGUGUACAAUAUUUGUAUCCAAAUAGAACAUUCUAUGAUACACCAAAAACUUGACGCAUCCUUUUCACAAACAUACGAUGGCUUCUAUCAAAAGAAAAUGUCUGUGCAACAAUGUAAACGAAGAAACUUACACUAAAGAUAUGAACUGUAGAUUGCUUCUAGUUGUUCAGUGUACACUAUAUGCAUCAGAAUAUCUCCUACCCCUUCAUACGAAGGUUUUAUAUAUAGUCGCGGUUGAACUACAGGCACACAUUCUAUUGUGCUAGGCAUUAAUUAAGAUGCACAGAACAAAAUUGCUUAAAGCAGUAGUAAACUCUAAUCACAAGUGAAAAAUAUGGUAACCAGCAUCCAGCUAUUUCAAUAAAAGUAUCUACACUUCAUGCACUAAAUUUGAUAAAUAAAGAAAUGACAAGUACUACUCUUCUGAGGUACUUAUAAAGGAGCCUGAGGAUAAUGAAAUCGCGCAAUCUUAGUAUACAAUGAUUACAAAAAAUGAACACAACAAAAUAAGCAAGGGAAGCAAUAGGAAUCAAAAUGACCAAGAAGCCCCCGUCAAAUCAUAUGCAAUGCAGCACUAACGGUCACAACCACCUCAACACGCACAACCACCUCUUUGCUCUGUUUCCGUGACAGCAUCAGGGAUACCCUGAAAGUAUCUGCACAUAUUACAAAUGACAUUAUUGAAUCAACCAGAUAUAUCAUACAUAUACAAGAGCCAAAAAGAAGAGUCAGUACGUGUGUGAGUUCAGAGGACAGAAGAAACAACACGACGAAACUGGCUUGUAAAACUCUACUCCCUUAACAGGGUGUCCGUUCCAGUAUACCACUACUCAACUGAAGUUCAUAAUCUAUUUACAUAGAUUCUGUAUAAGUGACAUUCAUGAUUCUGUCACUAACAAAGCAUGGUUCUACAUCAAUAUUGAAAAACAAAGCAAAGCAGCAGGUUUCUUCACUUCAUAAAAUGAUUCUGUAAAUAUCUCAAGGAAAAUUUAAUAAUAUUAAUUUUCUAUAACAAGUGAUCAAACACCAUCGAUCAUAUAUAUGAAUUUGCAACUUGGAUUUCUAUUCUCUAAAGCAAGUAUCAUAUUGCAAAGUUUAAUAUGUACUACUUAUCCUACGCGAAUCCACUAUGGCAUUUGCAACCAUUUGAGAUGCUUUUGAAAACAGAAACUAUAUAUUAAUUCAACAAUUUCAUAAAAACAUAAAUAUUCCAGCUAGCAGAAUUGUCUGUCAAAAAUAAUUAGUAUAUAACUUACAUGUCCUGAUCAUGCUCAUUGGCUAAGGCUGCUUUUGCAAUAGAAAGAAAUGCAGCAUCAACAUUGUAAUCUUCUUUAGCAGAAGUCUCAAAGUAAGGGAUAUUCCCUUUUGAAGCACACCAGUCCUUAGCCUUCUUCUCAGAAACCUGUACUCAGAUGCAAUACAGUAAGGGACUGCAUGUCACUACCACUUAAGUAAACAUUUUCUGACAUGUUGCAUUCAAAACCUUACCACUCUGCUAUUUCCACCAUCUAUAUCAAUCUUGUUUCCAAGCAAGAUAAAAGGGAACGUCUUGGGGUCAGCUGGAUUUGCCUACAAUUAAAAUAUUUAUCAUUACAAUACUAAGUAUAAUAUUAGGGGAUUUCUACGUUCUAACAGUAAAGGUGACCUUAUAUCUGCAUGUAGAUAUGCUAAAGAGCCACAAUGGUAUCUAAUAUGUCCAGGUCAGCAUGUAACAUGAUAAUAAUUGGUGGUGGUGGUUGGUGUUGGUGGUGGUGGUGGUGUGUGGUGGGGGGGCNNNNNNNNNNNNNNNNNNNNNNNNNNNNNNNNNNNNNNNNNNNNNNNNNNNNNNNNNNNNNNNNNNNNNNNNNNNNNNNNNNNNNNNNNNNNNNNNNNNNNNNNNNNNNNNNNNNNNNNNNNNNNNNNNNNNNNNNNNNNNNNNNNNNNNNNNNNNNNNNNNNNNNNNNNNNNNNNNNNNNNNNNNNNNNNNNNNNNNNNNNNNNNNNNNNNNNNNNNNNNNNNNNNNNNNNNNNNNNNNNNNNNNNNNNNNNNNNNNNNNNNNNNNNNNNNNNNNNNNNNNNNNNNNNNNNNNNNNNNNNNNNNNNNNNNNNNNNNNNNNNNNNNNNNNNNNNNNNNNNNNNNNNNNNNNNNNNNNNNNGAUACACAAGUAUUUACAGUUUAAAAUAAAAUAUCUAAGAUAUUUGUGUCCUAAUUCUGACUAAAUAAUCAGUCUUAAAUCAACUGUAAUCAACCUUAUUACAUAUAAUAAUGUUUUACAUCAGAUCUAUUUAUAUUCAGCAUAUAUAUAACACAAUAGAAAUAAAAUUUUCAUAAAUAUGUACCAGCCUACCAUGAAUCAACUUAUAAAAUUAGAAUAUAGAAUGACUGGAAUCUAAUACAGCAAUACAAUAUGUCCGUAAGAAAACCUGUUUUAGAAAUUCUUCAUGCCAAUUCUCAAGAGUAUCAAACGACCUCAUGACAUUUACAUCAUAUACUAGAACACAGCAAUCUGCCCCUCUAUAAAAUGCAACCCCAAGACUUUGAAAUCUCUCCUGCCCAGCAGUAUCCCAUAUCUGUUAAUAAAACAUAUUUGGUUACCACCAGAAAAACAUCAGCACAGCUCACAUCUAGCAUAUAUGUAAAUGUGUAACAUAAAUAAAUAAUACAUAAAGAUAAAGUUACUGAAGGGGUAAGAGAACCCACUUGAAGAGUAACAAUCCUGUCAUCAAUUUGCAAUUCUUUGGUGACAAAAUCAGCUCCAAUAGUAGCUUUGUAUUGCUGGCUGAAUUUCUUGUGUACAUAUCUAAAAUAGAGUAAAAGACCCACAAUGCCAAUUAACACUAACAUGAUCAAUAUUCCAUUUAUGAUGCCAUGAUUUAAAGUUUGCACUUGACCACCAUAAUAUAUAGGAUGAGAAUGAAUAUUAGUUCAGUUUGUAAGUAACUAAUCAGAAUCAUCCACAUGCUAACUAUAAGUCGCAGUCGUGUUUGGGAUUACAUAAUACAAAGUGGAUUCAGAACAAUAAUAUGAGAUCCAAGCAUGGUUCUUACAAAUUAUAAUCUGAUCUGAAUCUCAACUAUUCUCUUAUCAAGAAACAAUCAAAUUUACGAGAGUAUUGUUAAUCGUCUAUACCAAACAGUAAACCAUGAGCUAAACAAUUUUGUAUGUUGGUCUUGGAAAUAUUACUGAAAUACAUUAUUAGCCUAUAACUGUUUUCCUCAAACUAUGUGCAUACAACUACUAUCAAAUUGUAUUACCUGUUAGUAGUUUAAUGUUUUCACGAAGAAAAUAUUAAUCCAUAAGAACAUUAUUAUACUCCCUGCUGUCGAUAUUGUAAUGCGUUCCGACUUUUUGUGCAUAGUAGUAUAAGGUCACUAAACUAUAUAUCUACACAAAUAUAUGUCGAACUACUUGUAAAUUUAACACUCCUAUAAUGCAACACUCAGCAUCAUACAAGAUUUAUGAACUAAAGAUUUUAUUAGAGAGCAAGUUUCCAGGAGAGCCUUUCUCUUUCUGAAUGAGUUCCUAUUUCUCGCAACAUACUAAAUCAGUUUAAACUGCAACUAGUUUAACUAGCAAACAGUAAAGUAACUAAAUACCGUACGGCUUAAGAUGAUUUAUGUGAUACCAUCACAUCAUAAGCACACAUUUUCCAAUUCAUCCAGCCAGGCAGUAAUUAUAAUCAUAAAAACGUUAUUAUGCUCUCUCCUGUCAGAUUGUAAGCCAUUUUGACUUUGUGUGUAAUAUAAGGUCACUAAACUAUAUAACUCCGCAUAUAUUUGAUUUACCUAUACUCGUCUUACAUAGUCUGAUUCUAAAUUUUUAUUUGAAGUAAAGAAAACAGAAUAUAUAAUGUACAGCAUACAGAUAACAUCUAUAGGCACCUUAAAUUGCAGGUACUAUAGUCGAAACUACUUGCAUUCCUUCUCAACCGGAGGCGUAGCAUACACUAUCACUUCAUUUUCACGUAAAUUCCUUAACUACCUAAGAUUUGCCCUAAACAAUAACCACCUAACCUCGAUAACAACCUCUAACCAAAAUUCAAACAAACUCAAGCCACGCAACUAUCGAGAACUCAAAUUCUCGACUACUUAAACUCACAAACAACGAUCUCUAACAAAUUCGUCAACAAACCUAAACAUAAACACAAAUCAAACACAGAAUUAACAUCACAGAUCUAAUUAAUCAAAAGGAUACUGAUUCAUCAACGAAGUCUUCCCAACCCUAACAACACAAAAACAAAAUCAAAAUCAAACUAAUUAGAACUCGAAUUAAUCACAAACACAAAUAAUUAUCAAAUAAUUCGAAACAUAUCGUUGAAUAAUCAUGAUUAGUUAAAUACUUGCCCGCUGUCGCCGAGAACGAUGACUUUGAGAAGCGUGCGUCGCCGCAUCGACAUCGCUGAGUAGAAGAAGACGAUACGAGUCUUGAAUCGGAGAGUGAAGAUGACGAGUGUGAGUGUGAUUUUAUAUAAGCGAAAAGAGGAUCUGUUAGAGAAAGGGGCGCCAAUUUCGAUAAUAUACACAACUACGAAAGCUUGUAUGGCUUUGCAGUGUGUGUAAUUUUUUAUUUUGUUUUUUGGUUUUUCGGUAUUAACUAUGUGAGAUUUUCAAAGGAGUAUCAAUUCAUCAGAGAAACUAUAAUUAUUUUAGAAUAUAAGAAAAUUAUGUACAUCUUUUAAAUUUUAAAAAAUAAAAUUAUAUGAUCUAUGUUAUAUUAAUUCUUUUAACGAUGAUAAUCAGAUUUAUGAUGCAAUAUCGGUUUAAAUAAAUUUUAAAUACUACUGUAGAUUAUCUCGGAAAUAAUUGUAAUAAUGAUUUUGAUCUGUUUUCAGAUUUUGUUAAUCUAAGUUCAUUUAAUAUGAUUGAGUGAGAUAAGACGACAGAUUCAACAAAUAAUUAAUGUGUGAUGGUUAUUCUUGUAAGUCGGCCCAGACAUUCAAUUUGCAUUUUGCAAGUCGGCAGUGGUGUUGAUAAUGCCCACGGUCCCGCAAAUGUUUUCGGUAUAUUAGGGACUUUUAGAAUAGAUUAUUUAUAGGUUGGACCCGAAUUCAGUUUCAAUAUACAGUAUGCAGUUUCGAUAUGCAGUAUGCAGAGUUAAACUGGAAAAAUGGCUGCAUCAGAAAAUGUACUUAAACUGAAUAAGCAGCAGUCCCGUUACUUUGUAGUCACUACGAUAUAUUAUUUUUUUUUUAAAUGGCUUAAAUGUAUUUAAACCGAAGGCUAGCUCUCUUGCACCUAGGCUAAUUGUGAGAGCUGCUCACACACUCGUAUUCAUCGCUUAUGACAGUCCACUUGUUUUUGUGCCUCUACGUGAAAUCGAAUCUAUGAUCUUAGGAUGGUAAGUCCCUAAAAUCACGUUUUCAAAUCAACUGGAACAUGGCUCAUCAGAUGUAUCAUUGUCCGUUCUAAUUUUGGUCUUUUGGGAAAUUUUUCUCUGUGACGUUUAGUUUGUAGAAUUAAAAACUACUCGAUUAAUUUCAUUAAUCAUAAAUCUAAAUAUUCUGAAGUAUUUAUUGUUCAUUUAGAUUAUUAGGAUGUCUUUAACAUAGAAUGAAAUCAGUUUGAAAGGUUUUGAAAUUGAUAUCGAAUUAAGUUGAAACUAUGAACUGUACAAAUUCUUCGCGCAAGCGGAGUUUUUUCUGAAAUUGUGGGCAAGUAAUGCAGAGUGCGCUCAGGCAAGAGCCAAGAAAUGAAUACAGGUGAACUGGGAAAGCGUUGAAAUGAAUGCAGACUACAAAGCAUAGAUAAUAGUAUGGUAGUAUUAGUAUGAGACUAAUCUUCAAUUUAAUUUUGUUAAUGACUGUGCAUUUAAACAUAAUGCAACAUUGCAAGGGACGAAAAUGCAGUAUGGAUACGAUUAAUCAGUUGUCGCUUUCGGAGUCUUAUGUUAAUGUGAGUUUAGUUAUGUUAAGCCUCUAAUUUGUAGUUUGCAAGAAUGCCUAAAGAGAAUAAAUAAAACGGCAGGGUUCAGAAAUAAUGCAGCACUUGAAUACAAGCGAGUGGUUAAGUUUAAUAUAUUUUGCGUUUUUGUGAUUUUUAACGUAUGCUACAAAAGAUUGUUUUAUCUCAGCGUGCUACUGGAUAAUGACAUUGAAACUCGAAAUGAUACCGCAACAGUUCAAAAUGCAUCUCUAUUUAAACUCAAGGCCUCUGCUAGAUUCUACAAGUUCACACAGCAAAUUCAAAAUAUUAAACCUCAAUACAAAAGAAAUGGUUACCAAAAGUCAGUGUCAGUGCAUAUGUUUGGCUACAAUCUUCGUCAUUGGGACGUUGGCUUCACUAGCUGAAUCCCGAUCCCUCAAUGCAGCACCUGUGCUUGAGAAUCACAAAUGGUGGAUGGCUCAUUAUGGUCGUGUGUAUGUAGAUGAUGACGAGAGGAGCAUGCGUUCUAAGUUGUAUGAGGAGAAUGUAAGAUAUAUUGAGUCGGUCAACAAAGCCAAUAACAGACCUUACAAGUUAGGCAUCAAUGAAUUUGCAGACCUUACUAAUGAGGAGUUCAAGACCGCGAGGAACAGAUUUAAGAGCCAUGUGUCUGCACAAUCAACAGCUUUGUUCAGAUACCAGAAUGUCACUGCUGUGCCAUCAGCCAUGGACUGGAGAAAGAAUGGCGCUGUAACACCUGUCAAAGACCAAGGCCAAUGUGGUAAGAAUUAUAGUGCAAAUGAGUUAUUAAAAAAAAACACUUUUUGAUGUAAUGAUACUUUCUAACACUUGAAUAUAUGUAGGAUGUUGCUGGGCCUUUUCAGCUGUGGCGGCUAUGGAAGGACUUACGCAACUAAAAACAGGAGCACUGAUAUCUUUAUCAGAACAGGAACUGUUGGAUUGUGACACCAGCGGUGUGAAUCAAGGUUGUGAAGGUGGUCUAAUGGACAGUGCUUUUGAGUUCAUUCAACAAAAUCACGGCCUGUCCACUGAGGCAAGCUACCCCUACAGAGAAACUGAUGGUGCUUGCAAUGCCAACAACGAAGCCAAUCAUGCAGCCAAGAUAACGGGACACGAAGAUGUGCCUGCCAAUAGCGAGACUGCAUUGCUAAAGGCUGUUGCUAAUCAGCCAAUUUCUGUGGCCCUUGAUGCAGGGGGUUCAGACUUUCAGUUCUACUCAAGCGGUGUCUUUACUGGAGAGUGUGGUACAGAACUGGAUCACGCGGCAACUGCUGUCGGCUAUGGCACUGACACUGAUGGAACUAAGUAUUGGUUGGUGAAGAACUCAUGGGGCACAACCUGGGGGGAGGAAGGGUACAUGAGGAUUCAAAGAGGUGUCGCGGCAAAGGAAGGCUUAUGUGGCAUAGCUAUGCGAGCAUCCUACCCUAUUUCAAGUAUGAAACUACAUUAAAACUAUCGGACAUCUUUAUGUGGUGCAAUAUAUUAGUAUCUGUAGAACUUGUGAGUUUACAGUUUUUUAUGUGAAUUGUGUACUACUUAGAGCCAUGUAUCAGCUUCUGUAGAAGUUGCUAGCACCUGCAGCAAACAAAGCUUGUAUUUGUAUGUAGGAUCUAUGUUAUGAGAUACUGUACAUCUGCAAUUUACAUUUACAGUAUGAUAAAGAAUUAUUUAAAGUUUAGAUGUAAGAAAUAUUUUAUACUCCCUCUGUUUGGAUAUAAUAGUCGUUUGACUUUUUUGCACACACUUUUAAGAACAUUGAUCGCACAUUUAAAAUUAUUAUUUUUAAAAAUUUCUUUUUGUGAAUUAAAAUAUAUCACUAAUACUUUUAUUCACAAAAAAAAAAUUUUAAAAAUAAUAAUUUUAGAUGUGCGGUCAAAGCUCUUAAAUGUGCGUGCAAAAAAGUCAAGAGACUAAUAUAUCCAAACAGAGGGAGUAUUGACCAAGUCCUAGCUUGGUGCAACACAAACUACACAAGGCAAACACUGAAACACAAGCCUCUCCUCACCUUGUUGCGGUAUUUUGCUAGAAAACAUGUUAAAAAUUAUUUAAUAAGAAAAUUUAUGUAACUGUUUUUUUACCGACUUUUCUGUUAAAAAUUAUUUAGUAAGAAAAUUUAUGCAACUAUUUUUUUACCGGACACUUUUACGCUUAUUAUUAACUUUUUUACAUUUAAUAACAGUUGUAAACUCCCCAACAAACCACUAAACGAAAAAUUAUAGUCACGUUCAUUUAGACUCCAGGCCUAGGUGCUACCAUUAUGUACAGGGCUACAGGCUUUGUCCUAACUCCUAACCCUUUAACAAGGCAUUCCAGCUCAAGCUUGAUUGAGAAAAGCUGAGCUAGGCCUUUAAUUAUAGAUAUAUCAAAGACAUUAAAAUCACAGAAACUUGACUAAACGAAAUCAGAAUACGCAUUUUUAAAGAGUUACCAUCCCGACAAAAUCACAAACAUAAACUUCUCCCUCAUACUGAGAACAAUACAUAUUAGAACAACAUCCUGCAUACAAGCAGACGACAAUAAGAUACAAUGCUCUAUUACUUAUAAGCCUCCUAAUCCAACACUCCCAUUUUAUUUGUAAGUGCGAACAAUAUUUAGUUGCUAGAUUGGCGGAGCUCUGGACGAACAAAAUCAGCGUCUGCAGGCACUGAAAUGUCCACUGAUGGUCUCAACUGGGCACAGACUUCAACUGCUCCAUGCACUGGAUCUGACAUGAAGUUACUAAUGAGAUCCUGGUUGAUAGGAGCACCGUUGUCAACUGCUACCAAGGCUUGCUGGGUGAGAAUGUAGUCAAAGCGUGGAGCCCACUUUCUUGAACCCAGUCGUGCUGUCGUUGAGCAAUUAUCCACCAUGAAGGAAAGUCCACGAGCAUGCAUGAAUGGAUUUAGAGAAUCUACUGACUCGAUCAGACUCUCGUUUAUGAUCUCGGAAUACGAGUGCCCUUUUUUUCUCAGGAUUUCAAUCUGUUUGAUGGAGAUAAAAAUAUUGGUUGUAAGAAACUAUUUCAUACUUAUAUAACAGAUUUUCAGUAAUUUCCUUUCAUAGUUGACUAAGCCAUAUAAUCUGUUGGUUUUUCUUAUGGUGUCUAGAUAACUAUUUGCUUUUAUAAAAUUAGAGUACUGUCUUCUACAACAUAAUAGAUGCCUAGAUAAGACAGCCUAUCCCAAACAGAAAACUUAACUCACGGAUAUCACUAAUUUUGGAACAACCCUCCAGAUAUGGGACAAAAUUUAUUUUUUAUUUCUUUUGAUAAUUAUCUGGCCCGAUAAUUUAAUGACACUAAGGUAGUAAGGUGUGUGAAUACUAUAGUUACAAAACACUGUCCAAUUCCUAUAUGGAACAUUGAAGAAGGGUUACCUGAGCCAUCAUUAGAGCCACAUAGACACCAGCAGUGAAUGGAUAUAGUGGGCCUAAAUCACCCUUUGGCCGUGAUGCACGGACCCGCUCACCUACUUUCCACAUCCGUGUUUGAUCAAUAUUUCCCAUUGGAAAAGCGGGUAGGCCUUCUUUCUCCUGCAAAACAGACGAUCUCCUUUAAGUUGGUUAUAGACUUAAUGACUUAAUAGUAUAUAUCAAAAAACAUCACAAAGAACUAAUAAGGCAAAAAAAAUUAUUUGCAUGACAAUGAGAUAGAUUUGCACAAGUAAAUUGUGGGAGAUAUAGAUCAAUAACAUAAUACCAGUCAAGUUUCUAAGAGAAAUUGUGUAACAUACAUAGAAACGACGUCCGGCCAAUACUACACUCCUGAUCUCAUUACCACUGGCUACAUCUUCAUAGCACUCAUAUAAGAUUUCCAUGCAUGGAUAAUAUGAGGCACUAUAUGCAACCUCAAACUCUUUUUUCUCAUCUUCUGACAAUGAAUUGUAGACUGCCAACAUGCCCUAUCAACAAAGCAAAGAAAUGAACCAUCAUCAAUGGGGCAACACCCAAUAGUGGGAAAGAUGUAUAGAAGACCAUUAAAAAUCAAAACAAGCCAUUCCAGUCUCUAUUAAAUUUACUUAUAAGCCAACCUUCGAAGAUAUUGUCUUCGAUAUAAUCCCUGUUAUGCCUUCUACAGUAUUCUUAUAAGCCAAGUCUUCACUCAUCCCAUUCUCAGUAUACCUUCUAAACAAGGAUUCCACAAUACCGUGAACAGCCCCAAGCAAAAUCCCUAAAAGUCAAGAAACUGGAAAUUAGCCAACAUCAUUAAAUGACUGAGAGCUGGCUUGCUUUUAGAGCAAAGAGGCUACCUCGUUCUCCGAAUAUGUCACUCUUGUACUCCUGUUCCAGUGUAGUGGCAAAUGUAAAUGGAGAACCGAGAGCAACUGACCAACCAAGAGCAACAUCUGUUGCUCUACCAUCAACAUCCUGCCAAGUUAUCAUAGAACCUUACAAAACAGUAUAUGGAAAAAUAUAACUAGAUUACGAGGAUGGAAACUACUGACCUGAUGGACGGCAAAACUUGCAUUAAUGCCUGCGCCAUUGACUUCCUUACCUUGCACAUACAGGCGCCUCACUGAUGGACCCAUUCCUUUGGGACACACAGCUACGACGCUUAUGUUUUUUGGGAAAUCAAGGCCAAAUGACUGCAAAUGGCCUAACAGGAAACCAUGAGAAAGCCCAAGUAUGCUAUUAGGCUUCAUGUAUGAUAGCACCUUCUCAUAGUUAUCAGCCUGCAACCGAAUGAUAUACAUAAGUUGAUACAGAUGUAGUAAAAAAAAUGAUAGAUACACCAACACAGUUCAUAUUUUUUUAGAUGUUAAAGACUACUAGGAAAACAGCAAUGACAAUCCAGUCUUGAUAUGAAGUGAGCAUCUGGUGGAGUUUGUUCAUUUUCUUCCUACUGUUCAAGUCUCUAUUAAUACGGUUGGAACUGGAAAAUACACCUAUUGCUUGAUUGCGAAUUAUUUCACAGAAUAUUUUUGAAAAUCCAAAAAUAUCAUGCAAGAGAGAUAAUAACAUUUUGGCAGAAAGUGAACAAAAAAUGUGAUUACAAUAAAAAAACAGAGCAAGUACAUUUCAAGAUAUUAGAAUAUCCGAUAUAAAGCAACCUAAAAGUUCCAGCACAGAGCUGAUCACAGAUUUAAAAUUUAAUCAAAUAAAGAGUCUACAUGUAUGUGCAAGCACAUAGUAUUCAUGUUGCAAUUUGUGAAGACUGUCUAGUCAAAUUGACAUGACAGAAAAAACACAGACCUGGGCUGCAUCAGAAAUCAAGAGCAAGACCAAGUCACUGCCGGAUAUAGUCUCCCAUAUAUCUCCUAAGGUACCAGUCUCUUCAGUAAAUCCAGCAGCACGGGCCUCAGCAAAUGAACGAGAACCCUUCCUC